rfam:Trichobilharzia regenti genome assembly, scaffold: TRE_scaffold0014753
GUACUGAUGAAGAGUCCCAAACUAGGACUAAACAGCCGUCGAGUAC